AUAAAAUAUAAAUAUAUUAUAUGUAUCUCGCAGUUACACUGUUCAUUACAUUUUGUUUUUAACCGCUUCUUUUAGAUGAACCGUACUUGUCCCGCAGUAUUCGUUUUUCUACCAUAAACCGCACCGCACCACUCAAUCCGCUUGUCCCGCACCACUCAAUCCGCUGUUACCAUUCGGAACCAUAGAUUGGAGACUCAUUAUUUGGAUCUUGAGAUUGCUUUGUUGUUGGUUUUGAGUUUAGUAUAUAAACCAUUGGAGACUCUUUUUUUUAAAUUAGUCUCCGUUUGAAUAUUAUAAAUUUAUGUGUGGGUUUUGAGUUGAGUUAUUCUGGAUCUGAAUGAGUUCGGUUCUGAUGUAUAGGAACCUAAAAAUAUCUAAAUAACAAAUGUAUCUAAAAGUGGAUCUAAAAAGUGUCAGAAUAUUUGUACCAAAAAUAAUAAUAUUAUCUGAUUCGGUCCAAAUCUUUUGAAUACAAUCCAAAUUAUGAAAACCAAAUAUCAAUCUAUAAAAAUACGACAACCAUUACCCGCACGACAUGGAAAGGAAAGAGACACACCUUCUCUUUGUCCCUAAAGUUUCCAUUAUUUAGUUUGACCACAAUUGAAUAUUUUAGCUUCCCAUAUUAGCUUUGACCUUUUCCCUCUUCCAGGAAACCUACAACACACGACAUGGAACACCAUUUCACAUCAUUAUUAACACAUUCAAAAAGUCAACUUUCCGCUUCAGAUCUGGAAUCCUAACAAAGUGGUAAACGAGAAGGAGAAGGGGUUUAGGAGUUUGAUAAAAAAAAUGGACUUGCUUCGCAAAUUGUUCAACCGCAAAACUCCAGAUGGUUUACACGAGAUAUGCGACCAAGUGUUCGUCUUCGGCAGCUGCCUCUCCACCGAUUCUUUGGAAGAAGAGAACUACAAAACUUAUCUGACGGGAGCUGUCAACCAGCUACAAGAGCACUUCCCUGAUGCAUCCUCUCUUGUCUUUAACUUCCGUGAUGUGGUGGAUACUCGGAGUGUGAUGGCUGAUGUCUUGUCAGAACACGGCUUGACCGUAAUGGAUUAUCCUCGCCACUACCAAGGCUGCUCAUUAUUGCCUGUGAAAGUUAUGAAAAAAUUUCUUUGUUACUGUGACAGCUGGCUCUCACUCGGCCCAAGUAAAUUGAUACUAUUGCAUUGUGAACGAGGGGCUUGGCCGGUUCUAGCUUUCAUGCUAGCUGCACUCCUUAUUUACCGGAAGCAAUACAGUGAUGAGUACAAGACCUUGGAUAUGAUCUGCAAGAAGGCUCCCGUUGAGCUUAUGCAUUUGUUCUCGCCCCUGAACCCUAUUCCUUCUCAGCUUCGGUAUCUACAGUAUGUGUCGAGAAGGACUAUGGUCUCUGAAUGGCCUCCAACGGAAAGGGCUCUCACCGUGGAUUGUGUUAUGUUGAGAUGUCUUCCUGAUGUUAGUGGACAAGGAAGCUUUCUUCGCCCAGUCUUUAGAGUAUACGGUCAGGAUCCCCUUUUUGUAGAUGAUGAUAAAAAGAAGCCUGAGCUCUUGUACUCAAGUGCCAAGAAAGGGAAACAUCUUAAAAUCUACAAGCAGCUCUUCUCAAACAAGGUAGAACUAGUCAAGAUUGACGACAUCAACUGCCAUGUGCAAGGUGAUAUCGUGAUUGAAUGCCUCAGUAAUGACAUGGAGGUCAUGAUGUUUCGAGCGGUUUUCAACACAGCUUUUAUCAGAUCAAAUAUUUUGACGCUCAACCGUGAUGAGGUUGACACAUUAUGGGAUAUAAAAGAACAGUUUCCAAAGGGGUUCGGAGUUGAGAUUCUCUUCUCGGAUAUGGAUGAUGACUCGUCUGUUGAUUUGACGGAGAAAGUUGGUCUUCCAGUAGAAGCUUUUUCCAACGUUCAUGAGUUCUUCAAUCCAACUGACUGGGAUGAUGCUACUCGCAAUACGCGUCAGCAUUUAGCUAUUGCAAAUGGUGUCCAGGAAAUACCAGAUGGGAAGUCAAGCCCAGUACUACAAGGGUUAAGCCCUCCAAUAGGAGCUCCCAAUGAUGUGGCUUCCCUUCUUGGACAACCGGUGAAGUCACCUCCUCCAGUGUCUAAAUCAGACAAAACAACUGCAUUACCUCGACCACCACCACCACCACCUCCUCCUCCUCCUCCUCCUCCAGUGCAGCAUUCAGACCAGAAGACAGCCGCUAGAGUUUUCAUUCCUAUACCACCCCCAUCACCAGCUACAGCUGCCUCUCCUCCCCCUCCCCCUCCCCCUCCCCCUCCCCCAGCUCCUCAAACUACUCCACGGAUUCCUACCUCUUCUUCCCCUCCUACCUCUAUACCACACCCAACACUAGCUAUCUCUGCCUCUCCUCCUCCCCCUCCCCCUCCUCGUCCUCCUCUUCCAACACCUCCACGGCUUUAUACUUCUUCUACCACGUAAUGUUUAUCUCUUGAGAUCUUUAUUUUCAGCUUCAUCUUCAGUGUGUGUCAGAUUUUGUGUAUUCUAUUCAUGCUUUCUUCCGUGGGAUCAAUUGGCCUCUCAUACGGGGCAUGGACCCUCGGCCACUGGAUGCACCGUUGCGAAUAACAGAGAAAGAUCCGAAUGCCACUGGGAAGAUGAUGGAGUGCUUCUGAACUCUAUGGACAUUGACAUUGAUCUCUUCUAAACACUCAACUCUUUUACUUUCUUCUGCCUUUGAAUCUUAUUUUAAUGCAAAACCAAUAAAGCAAAGGUGUUGUUACAUAACAUAUAUAAUGCAUCAGCAAUAAACAGCUGUAUCAUGUUAUUAGAGAAUAUCACACAAUCUUCCAUUA